rnacentral:lncRNA from 1 species
AUGCUCAUCAUGGGGGCUGUGCUGCUGUUACUAAUUGGUGUGGCUGAAGGUGUGGAGACCUUCUGCAACGCCACACAGCCACACAUCACGACCCAGUGCUUUGGCUCUCUGGGAGGAACCGUAGAGGUCCAGAUGCUUACUCAGUACUCACAAGAUGAUACCUUCAGACUGAAGAAGAACAAUGUCACGAUUUUAUCAGAACGCAAUCAGACAAACAUUCGAUAUUCAUUUAAUGUCAGUACUGGAAUAUUUACUAUAAAGGACAUCGACAGGAAAGACAAUGGUGAAUACUCAAUGGAAGUAUAUGACCGAGAAGCUGGAAGGCUAGUGGCAUCUACAAAAUGUUAUUUAACCAUUCAAGCCCCGGCCUCCUCUCCCCUCAUGUCCCGGGAGUGUCUGUCCUGGGGACAGCAGAGGGUGUCCUGCUCUGCCGGGGGGGACGGACUCCACUACAGCUGGAGUCUAGACGGACUCCCGCUGAACGACCCGCGUCUCCUCUCCGGACCCAGUAGCGCUAGUGACGUCACUCUGGAGCCGGGCCGGUCGGGACUGGUCACCUGCUCGGUCCACAACAUCAUGAGCAACGCCACGGCCAACAUCACCUUGUCUGUGUGUGACGGUGUGAAGACCGUCUGCGACGCCACACAGCCACGCGUCACGACCCAGUGCUUUGGCUCUCUGGGAGAAACCGUGGAGGUCCUGAUGCCUACUCAGUCCUCACAAAAUGAUACCUUCAGACUGAAGAAAGACAGAGUCACGAUUUUAUCAGGACGCAGUCAGACAAACAUUCGAUAUUCAUUUAAUGUCAGUACUGGAAUAUUUACUAUAAAGGACAUCGACAGGACAGACAAUGGUACAUACUCAAUGGAAGUACAUAAUGUAACUGGAAUGGGAGUAGCAUUUACAAAAUGUUAUUUAAACAUUCAAGCCCCGGUCUCCUCUCCCCUCCUGUCCCGGGAGUGUCUGUCCUGGGGACAGCAGAGGGUGUCCUGCUCUGCCGGGGGGGACGGACUCCACUACAGCUGGAGUCUAGACGGACUCCCGCUGAACGACCAGCGUCUCCCCUCCGGACCCAGUAGCGCUAGUGACGUCACUCUGGAGCCGGGACGGUCGGGACUGCUCACCUGCUCGGUCCGCAACAUCGUGAGCAACGCCACGGCCAACAUCACCUUGUCUGUGUGUGACGGUGUGAAGACCGUCUGCGACGCCACACAGCCACGCGUCACGACCCAGUGCUUUGGCUCUCUGGGAGAAACCGUGGAGGUCCUGCUGCCUACUCAGUCCUCACAAAAUGAUACCUUCAGACUGAAGAAAGACCAUGUCUCGAUUUUAUCAGAACGCUAUCAGACAAACAUUCGAUAUUCAUUUAAUGUCAGUACUGGAAUAUUUACUAUAAAGGACAUCGACAGGAAAGACAAUGGUGAAUACUCUAUGGAAGUACAUAAUGCAGAUGGGAGGGGAGUAGCAUUUACAAAAUGUUAUUUAACCAUUCAAGCCCCGGUCUCCUCUCCCCUCCUGUCCCGGGAGUGUCUGUCCCGGGGACAGCAGAGGGUGUCCUGCUCUGCCGGGGGGGACGGACUCCACUACAGCUGGAGUCUAGACGGACUCCCGCUGAACGACCCGCGUCUCCUCUCCGGACACAGUAGCGCUAGUGACGUCACUCUGGAGCCGGGCCGGUCGGGAUUGCUCACCUGCUCGGUCCGCAACAUCGUGAGCAACGCCACGGCCAACAUCACCUUGUCUGUGUGUGGCGGGCUCGUCCCGUUCAUCGUUCGUCCUCUGACGGUGGUGCUGCUGCUCCUAGCAGCAUUGGGAGUCUACUGGGCCCUAAAGAAGAAGAAAACCUCCAGCCCUCGAGACAUCGCGCUGUCCUCCAUGGCAGUAGAUGAUGAUGUGCCGUACGUUAACGUCUCCGGGGCGACCGGGAGGUCAGGGGGAGAGUGAGGGGGAGUACGGGGCGGUCAGGGUGGCUCCAGGCCCCAGGCGGACGCGGGAGACCAAUGUGGGCGAGCUAGUGCGCGCUCAGCCCCGGAGGACGAGGCCCUGAGAGCUGUCACCACCCAGAAGGACGCGUAGACAGCGCUUUAGCCAGAGAGCCAUCAGCCCACUGACAUUAGACCUGCCAGGGACACUUCUCUCCCUGCAUCUCAAAGGCCACUUCGUUUGAAAAUGUGAAUAUUUAUUCGGCCGUGGUUAUGUUCAUAUUUAUGUUCAUAAAGCCGUUCACAUGUAGUUUAAACAGUGUAGUAGUCAAAUCUCAACUCUUAUUUUUAUUAUUAAUAGUGUCUAUUUUUUCCUCUGUUGUUGUCCACGGUGGCUUCCUGGGUCAAGGAUAGAAACUGAUCCAAUCAAAUAAUUGUGAUAGCUCGAUCUCUGAAAGCAAUAUUCUGCAUGUGUAACUCUUAACAUAUAACUACUAUUUUCUUUAUAGUAUACUAUACUGAAUGUGUAACUUAAUUUCAUUAUUUUUUGCACUAUUAUGUAUGUGUAACUGGCUUGGAUGCGUUUCCGUAUGAAAUAUACUAUUUUUUUUAAAGAGUAGGCCUACUUCAUCUUUUGUGUUCUAUAAACAUUCUUAAGGUUCCAGACAUGUAAAUUGAACCACUUACACACGGCACACACACACACACGCACGCGCACGAACGCACAUGCGCACACACACACACACACACACACACACACACACACACACACACAAUUUGAUGGCACUUUUAUUCAUUUUACCCUUGUUUUACUGUUACAAAAUCCAGUUGACAUCUUACCAUACCGAAGAGAUAAUUUACAACAAAAAAAUUAGGGAUGUCCGAUAUUGGCUUUUUUGCCGAUAUCCGAUAUGCGAUAUUGUCCAACUCUAAAUUUUCGAUUCCGAUAUCAGCCGAUACCGAUAUUUGGGUUAUUUAUUUUUCCUCAAACCUAAUUUAGGUAACAUUACAUAUCUCCUGUUGUGGAAUUAACACAACAUGCUUAAUGUUAUUGUGAUGCCCCACUGGAUGCAUUCUUGAAUGCAACAAGGCUUUCCAAAUGUUAACAUUGUCUGUGCAAAAUAAGAAAAAUACUUCAACUUAAUUUAAGGGAAAAGUAAAAAAAUUUUUAAUGGUCUCAGACAACAGUUUGGAUUACACUCUCCCUGAGAUAAUCUUGACAACGCCCACAACAAAUAGGGCAAACUUGACUUCACAAAUGAUAAAACAUUGUACCUGAACAACUAUGUGCAACAUAGCAGUAUGUUUCUUUGACUAAAACUCAAUAACCUUAAUUGAAUAAAUGCACAAAUAUUAGUCAAUUACAAUGUGCACUGUACUGCACAAUUUUGAAAACAUUUAUUUGAGCUAUAAAAAAAAUAAAAUAAAAAAAAUCGGUUUUAGGGCAAAAAAAAUCCGAUACCGAUAUUGACCGAUAUUACAUUUUUAUGCUAAUAUCGGGCCGAUAAUAUCGGUGGGCCGAUAAUAUCGGACAUCUCUAAAAAAAAUAGAUUUUAGGUUUGAAUGAUAAGGGACCAAAGAGGCGACUGUUGGUGGAACAAAAGAAGAAUGGACCAGAAAAGAGAUCAGACACGAGUGAAAGGGGAACUAUGAAACUUUUUUGGCUUGAUUUACCUUAAUAUAACAGGCUAAGAGUCAUUGCGAUGGUUCUAUUAUACAUUUUUGUUCGAUUGUUGGUUGUUUCGACUCCCCCUUGCGCAUCUUGGCGGAGAAAAGGAAUAUGUUUCUGCCAGCGACCCGCCGCCCACUCUCGCGGGAGUCUCGGGUCUCGAGAAGUAACGAAUUGCUUUACGGCACAGACCCCCAAAAACGGAACCGGUGUAAGUACCAUAUUGGCUCGGCUUUCAGAUCGGCUCGGGGUCCGUCGUCUGCUGAUUACGUCACACAAUAGCUAUCUACAGCAAUAAGGUUUUUUAUGGCUUAAAUUAAAGAGCCUGUAAUGAUCUUUCAUUUUGAACAUAGACCAUUCCCAACCUAUCUGUAUGGAUAGUUUUCUUCUAAAAACAAAACAUCCCUCGGAAUCAUCUUGGCUGUUAAAAUAAGCCGUCCGUGUUGCCAAAUUGGGCACAUUUUCAGCCUGAUUUGGCUACUUUGAAUCACGUUAGGCUGGAAAACCGGGACAUAUGCCCAAUCUGGCAACACAAACCGAAACUAGACAUAGACCUACUCGCGCUCACAAAUGUGCUCGCUGUUGCCUCGUGGUUGCUAUGACUACAGCCAGAGCUACAGCACAAAACAGCCAAUCACAACUGUCCGACGUACAGCCAAUCACAAUGUACGCCCAUUCAAGCGUACAGCCAAUGAUAUUGUGUAACGUAAUCAGCAGACGACGGACCCCGAGCCGAUCUGGAAGCCGAGCCGAUAUGGUACUUACACCGGCUCAAUCUAAACACAAGUAACUAAGGCAAGGCACUUUUAUUUAUAUAGCACAUUUCAUGCCAAUGGCAACCCAAAGUGCUUUACACAAAUACAAUGAAGUGUUUUCCAUAAUAAAAGGAAGACAAGACAAAAUAUAAAAAUUAAAAUGCAUAAAAUCAGAUAAAAAACAUAAAUAAAGUGAAUAAAGGGUUAUGCAUAAGGGAGAGCAUAUAAAACAGAAAAUUAGUCUAAGAAAAGGCAACAGAAAAUAGAUGGGUCUUGAUACUGGUUUUAAAACUGUCAAUAGAGGGUGAAGUUCUGAUUGAAAUUGGCAGCUGGUUCCACAGCUGAGUAGCAUAAAAACUAAAGGCAGCUUCACCGCUUUUGGUUCUCACAGUUGGUUUUGUUAAAAACAGUUGGUCUUGAGAUCUAAGAGGUCUAGUGGGGGUGUGGUAUUGGAGGAGGUCUACGAGAUAAGUGGGCCCCAUUCCAGUUAGUGAUUUAAAAACAAGCAACAAUACUUUAAAAUCUAUUCUUUGACUGACAGGGAGCCAGUGUAAAGUUUUUAGUAGGGGUGUAAUGUGGUCUGACCUCUUAGCUUUCAUAAGGACCCUAGCAGCUGCAUUCUGGAUCAACUAAGGGAUUGUUACAUUCAUCAUAGAUCAGCCGACUAAAAAGAGACAGCGAAACCCAAUGUCUGAGGAACAGAAGAAGAGAAAAGGGAGACUGACCGACAGAGAGGCCAGACACGAGUAAACGUUGGGCAAGCUUUUCAGGAAUAGCGUGAACUGAAAGAAAAAGAAGACUGCAAAUCAGACGCUGACUUGGCCGUGUUGCUUUUGAAAUUGAAAGUACCCUUGGGUGAACUUUGUCUUCGUGGUAUUCUUGAUAUUGAUAGACAAACUAUCCAUUUGUCUCUGUACAAAUGUGUUUGCUCAACCAUUUUGUUGUGAGCCCUGUAAAAAUUGUUUUCUCGACCGUUUUGUUGUGAGCCCUGUAUGUUUCUAGCUUGCUUGGUUGCAACCAUAUAAACACCUUUGUUUCCAUGGGUGUUUUGCUGUUCGUCUGUCUCGUCCCCCAGAUACAGACUGAAUCCCCAAAUCCAGGUUCUUGUUUAUUUCGAUUAUUAUGUUGGCCAACACUCUUACACAGAUUGUUCUGUUCAACCUAAGAUAAAACAAUUAUAAUCUAGGAUAUAAAUUCUCACCGUCAACUAUAAAAAAGGAUGGAUAUAUGUUUAUUGCAAUACAAAUACACCAUUUUAAAAUGUAUAACCUUGCCUACACUUUGUGAACAUCUACUUCGGACAUGGCUCCACGCAUUCGCCGGCUUCUUUGAAAACAAAUGCACAUGGCUCGCGUAGAAGUGCAUGGGGAAGGGUCGUCAACGAGUUGUUACGACAGUGUUGUCAAAUAUCUACUACGAAGCUGUAGGGGGCGCUGUCUAGAGAAAUGUGCGUGCCAAAACCAAGAAAACAGCGAAGAAAUGCCCGAAGUUGCAGAGUGGGCCUAGUCAACACGUCGACAUUAAACUCGAAAUGUCGAGAAUAAAGUUGAAAUGUCAUGUCGACCCUAAUCUCGACAUGUCGAGAGUAAAACUCGAAAUGUCGAGAAUAAAGUUGAAAUAUUAUGUUGACUUUGAUCUUAAUUUGUCGACUUUGAAGUCGACAUUAAACUCGAAAUGUCGAGGAUACAGUUGAAAUUAGUUGGGAGAGAUAGCAACCGCUCCACAGGGCCUGCACUGAAUCCAAUGGCUUGUAA